UUCCUGUAUUCUUUAGGCCACAUCUAGAUUACCUUUGAUGCAGGAUAUAAAACGCCACACUGCAUUAUUUUGGAAAUAACACAGAAAAAAAUGCACAUGCACGUUCAGUGCAGAUAUACCCCUCACCAGAGUGUAUGCAAUGGUCAGCGCACGCGAAGUCUGAAAGACAGGAGUCAACAAACGCAUUUGUGCACUGGGGCAUUGCUUUGCGAAGGAUAUUCUCUACAGUAUUCACCCUGACAAGUCUCAGCAUCAGGGUGAAAGCGGCUGGAGAGGAAGGCCACAUGUCAAGGUGGUAUCAGAUAUCCAAUAUAGUCAAAAGAAUCCAACUUUAUGGGCAGGAUGCCUGGGGCUUAGUGUUUGCUUGUGCUCGUUCAUGUUGGUUUAAAAUGUUUAGGGGAUUGCAGAGAUGGCUCAGUGGACACACACCCUUGCUGCUCUGUCAGAGAACCUGGGUUCAGUCUCCUACACUAAGGCCAGGCAGCUCAUCACCACUUGUCACUCCUAGCUUGAGGAGUAAUGUUCUCCUUCUGUCCUCUGUGGCUACCCACAUGCAUGUGUGAACAUACAUCCGCACACACAUACAUGCAAAUUACUACGACAAACCUUAAUAUUUUGAAAAUUGUUUUAUUUCUUUCCUCCUGGUAUAAUAGAGAUUACACUACUUUGACUCUUUAAAUUUUAGACACAUAUGUGACGCUUUGGCAUUGCCCCUGCAAACAAGUUUUGUUUAUUUAUUUUUAUUUUUUAUUUUUGUUUUUUCGAGACAGGGUUUCUCUGUAUUGUUUUGGAGGCUGUCCUGGAACAUACUCUCUGUAGACCAGGCUGGCCUCGAACUCACAGAGAUCUGCCUGCCUCUGCCUCCCGAGUGCUGGGAUUAAAGGCGUGCGCCACCAACGCCCGACUGCAAACAAAUUUUAAAGAGUAAUCUUUAACAUCUCUCUUCCCUUUAGAAGAUGACGACACUACAGUCAUGAUGAAAACAUCCAGGAUACAUCAAUCUGUUCCAUUAAACCACUUGUAGUCUCAAGAAACAGACAUAUAUGGUUUUAAGUUGCUUAAAAUUUUAGGACUGCCCAGAACAGCAGCACAGCUAACCUAGUCUGUUUCCCUCUGUGUUUGUGUGUCAGUAUGUGUGCAUGUAUGUGUGCACGUAUGUAUGUAGGUGUGUGCAUGCCAGAGGUCUAAGGUGAGUAUCUUUCUCACCCACCUUAGCUUUUGAGAUAGGAUCCCUCACUGCAUUUGGAGCUCACCAAUUUGGACAAGGCUGGCUGGUCAGCAAGCCCAAGGGUUCCUUCAGCGCCCAUCUCCCCAGCACUGGGAUUACACUGUAGCCCUCAGUUAUCACAUGGAUUCUGGGGAUUAAACUAAGGUCCCUGUGUGUGAACAGCACUUGCCUGACUAAGCCAUUGCCUUAGUCCCAAGUUAGCCUAUUUCUGAGGCAUUUAUUUUUAAAAAUACACUGAUUUAUUCAUGUAUACAUUUACAUUUAAACUUUCAUCAAAAACUAAAGUGUCUUUAAGAAUUUCUCAAAAUCGUUUACUGAAGUUUUGGCAAUCUCUUUGCAGAAUACUUCAUCAGGAACAGAUACGAACUUGUCCAAAGAGACAUAGUUGGGUUUUGCUGGAUCGUACUGUGCUUUUCCCAAGUAGGCAAGAAAUAAGUGUCUUUCUUUAAUUUUAAAUACUCUUGUAUUAAAUACCUGGAAAAGAAAGGAAUUUACAAUAAAAAGCUGAAAUACUAA